rnacentral:rRNA from 1 species
UUAAAAAGCUCGUAGUCGAACUUCGGCCUCUGCCGCCCGGUCCGCCUAAUUGGGUGUGUACUGGAGCGGUGGAGGCUUACCUCGUGGUGAACGGCCAUGCCCUUUACUGGGUGUGGUCGGGAACCAUGACUUUUACUGUGAAAAAAUUAGAGUGUUCAAAGCAGGCUUACGCCCGAAUACAUUAGCAUGGAAUAAUAAAAUAGGACGUGCGGUCCUAUUUUGUUGGUUUCUAGGAUCGCCGUAAUGAUUAAUAGGGAUAGUUGGGGGCAUUCGUAUUCAAUUGUCAGAGGUGAAAUUCUUGGAUUUAUUGAAGACGAACUACUGCGAAAGCAUUUGCCAAGGAUGUUUUCAUUGAUCAAGAACGAAGGGUAAGGGGAUCGAAAACGAUCAGAUACCGUUGUAGUCUUAACAGUAAACGAUGCCGACUAGGGAUCGGAUGAGGUUUUAAUGACUCAUUCGGCACCUGAAGAGAAAUCUUUAAGUCAGGUUCGGGGGGGAGUAUGGUCGCAAGGCUGAAACUUAAAGGAAUUGACGGAAGGGCACCACCAGGUGUGGAGCCUGCGGCUUAAUUUGACUCAACACGGGGAAACUCACCAGGUCCAGACACGACAAGGAUUGACAGAUUGAUAGCUCUUUCUUGAUUUCGUGGUUGGUGGUGCAUGGCCGUUCUUAGUUGGUGGAGUGAUUUGUCUGGUUAAUUCCGAUAACGAACGAGACCUUAACCUGCUAAAUAGCCCGGCCGACUUUGGUUGGUCGCUGGCUUCUUAGAGGGACUAUCGACGUCUAGUCGAUGGAAGUUUGAGGCAAUAACAGGUCUGUGAUGCCCUUAGAUGUUCUGGGCCGCACGCGCGCUACACUGACCGAACCAGCGAGUUUAUUUCCUUGGCCGGAAGGCCUGGGUAAUCUUGUGAAAUUCGGUCGUGAUGGGGAUAGAGCAUUGCAAUUAUUGCUCUUCAACGAGGAAUACCUAG